rnacentral:rRNA from 1 species
UACGAGGGGGGCAAAUGUUGUUCGGAAUCACUGGGCGUAAAGGGAGCGUAGGCGGGUUCUUAAGUAAGGUGUUUAAUCCCGGGGCCCAACCCCGGACCGGCACUUUAAACUGGGAAUCUUGAAUAGUGGAGAGGUCGGUGGAAUUGGGGGUGUAGCGGUGGAAUGCGUAGAGAUCCCCAAGAACACCAGUUGCGAAGGCGGCCGACUGGACACAUAUUGACGCUGAGGCUCGAAAGCGUGGGGAUCAAACAGG